CCCUUUCGUUCCCAACAGACCACCAAUCCCUUGCGCAACUUGGUGCAGAAACCCUGCAGUGGGACAGGAGCACGCUUCUCCUCUUUUAUCCAGUUGUUUGCAUGCUCCCUGGCCGGUUAGGAGGACAACAAAUGAUCAAACCACACAGGCUGCUCAGCACACCGGGGCUUUGCUGCUGCUUUCUCUGUAUCAGCUCGGAAAAUCUCAGGGCGCUGUGGAUGAAGCUUUUCCUCCUGCGGUUUAGAGGGACCCGGGUGGCACCAGUCCCACUGCUGUGAUGCUGACCCAUUGUGUUUCCCACCCCCAUGGGAUGUUGUGCUCAGCUCUCCUCUCUCCCCAUCCCUGCACCCCUCCAUUCAUCUCAUCUCCAUUUGGCUGUGCUGAGGCCACCUUUCACCUUGCAGAUGAAGUGAUUUCAGGACCAAGCAGAACUGAAGAUUCAGCAGCAGAAAGACAACGAGCCCCCUCACCUCCUCCUGCAUCCUCAAAACUUGGGAGGUUGCUUAGUGACAGCGUUGCUGCUCUCACUUUCUCACUCAAGCUCUUAAAAGCAAGAAAAUGGUUAUUUGAGGUCCUGAUAGCUCAUGUUCCUCGAUGGGCCCCUACCCUACAGCCCA